GACAGCGUGGUGUAGUGGUUCAAAUGUUAGACCACAACUCUGAAGACCAGGGUUUGAAUUCCCGCUCAGCCG